rnacentral:lncRNA from 1 species
UUUAGUCCUCUUGUGUUGCUAUAAAGGAAUACCUGAGGCUGGGGAAUGUAAGAAAAGGGGAAUACCUGAGGCUGGGGAAUGUAAGAAAAGAGGGGAAUACCUGAGGCUGGGGAAUGUAAGAAAAGAGGGGAAUACCUGAGGCUGGGGAAUGUAAGAAAAGAGGUUUAUUUGGCUCACAGUUCUGCAGGUUGCACAAGAAGCAUGGUGCUCGUAUCUGCUUCUGGUGAGGCCUCAGGCUGCUUCCACUCAUGCUGGAAGACAAAGAGGAGCCCACUACAUGGCAAGAGAGGAGGCAGGAGAUAGAAGGGGAGGCGCCAGGCUCUUCCACAACCAGCUGUCUGGGAACGCUCA